rnacentral:rRNA from 1 species
GACGAACGCUGGCGGCGUGCUUAACACAUGCAAGUCGAACGGAAAGGCCCUGCUUUUGUGGGGUGCUCGAGUGGCGAACGGGUGAGUAACACGUGAGUAACCUGCCCUUGACUUUGGGAUAACUUCAGGAAACUGGGGCUAAUACCGGAUAGGAGCUCCUGCUGCAUGGUGGGGGUUGGAAAGUUUCGGCGGUUGGGAAUGGACUCGCGGCUUAUCAGCUUGUUGGUGGGGUAGUGGCUUACCAAGGCUUUGACGGGUAGCCGGCCUGAGAGGGUGACCGGCCACAUUGGGACUGAGAUACGGCCCAGACUCCUACGGGAGGCAGCAGUGGGGAAUAUUGCACAAUGGGCGGAAGCCUGAUGCAGCAACGCCGCGUGCGGGAUGACGGCCUUCGGGUUGUAAACCGCUUUCGCCUGUGACGAAGCGUGAGUGACGGUAAUGGGUAAAGAAGCACCGGCUAACUACGU